rnacentral:lncRNA from 1 species
ACAAUAGCAUAUGUAUAAUAUUCAUGGGAUAAUUAAUUACACUAAAUACAUGAUAUAUUUUUAAAAUUCUCUUAAGGCUAACUUUUAUGGAAAUUGAGUAUAAGAUUGUUUCAUCUUUCUUUUAUGCUUGUAUUAAAAAUAUUUGUGUUAAAAAGUUCAUUUGUGGGAUCCCGAAGAAAUUUCUAUUCUUCUAUUGUAAUGGAUUCGGUGAUCGGAGAUAUGACUUUCGCUAGAAGGGGUAUUAGAUGAUCAACCAUGAAGGGACAACGUAGGCUGACAGAGCCGCCUGAUCCAGAUGACCCUGUGGUGGAUGACAAGGGUAUGAAAGUGAACCCCACUAACAUUACACCAAUUUCAUGGAAAGAUAAGU